GCCGAAUCCCGGCGCCUUCCGACCAAACUUCUCGCUGCCGCGCGGCCCCUUCCCCCGCCGCCCCCGCGGACGGCCUGCCUUCCGGGGGCGCCGCCCCGCCCGCGCGGCUCCCCCGCCGAGGAACAAAACUGCUGGUGAAUCUCGUGGAAUUCACCCUGGUUCUGGCACGUAGGGCGGUAACAAAAUAGAUGUAGGCGUAACGGACAACAGCGCAAAGCAGCAGCAUAAAGAAAUGAGCUGAAAAUGGCAGCCCAGCAAGGGGCCAGAGGGAUUCAGAAAGUUGACACCGGAGACUGCCAACUUAAGAUUCAGGUGUAAUUAAUGCGUCCCCACCUGUCCCGCCCCCGCACUUCUUGGAGAGAAUUAAAAGCAGAGGGAAGGAAACGGCAGCCAAAGCAUCCUAGAAACAAAAAGGCAAAUAGCAACGACGUUAGGCUUGACUAGAAUACCGGAUUUGAAGACAGUUCUGCUUCAAAUGACUAUUAACUUCUUCCGAAGACCAGUGGAAGAACCUUGGUACAUUCUUCUCCUGACAAUGGUAGAAGCACAAGAGCAAGCAAGCCUAAUCCGUGCAGAGAGAGGAAGCUCUUCUUAAUAAGGAUGCUAACCUCAUCAUGGAGGAACUACCCUCAUGACUUCAUCUAGACCUAAUUACCACCCAAAGCCUCGCCUCCUAAUGCCAUCACACUCUGGUUAGGGCUUCAGCAUAUGAACUGGGGCAUGGGAGAGUGUUGAUGAUUACCAAGUCAGUCUGUAACAUUUACAUUCUUUAAAAUUUUAUUAAAUAAAGCAAUUCAUUUUAAUUAUUAUAUAUAUAUGUUCUUAUUUCUUCUCUUAAUCAUAUUUAAAUUUGUAUAAAUCUGAAGUAUAUUUUGAUAACAUA